rnacentral:lncRNA from 13 species
AGGUCGCCUCGGCUUCCGGCUGAGAAACCCUUAAAGCCGGGGCAUAGUCGAGCUUAUAAGAAAGACCUAGUCCCCUGCGGUCGGCGAGGAGCGGGUUGGGGGCGCACCCUAAGCUCGACCCGGGUGGUUCACGCGCGCGAACACACACACACAUAUACACACACGCACACGCACACAAACCACACACUGCCUUACAGGCUGCCACCGCUCUCCACAAGGACCCGGGUUUGCCAGGGAGGAGUCGCCACUGCCCAGCGUUGUUGGAGAGAGUCUCACUCUGUUGCCCAGGCUGGAGUGCAGUGGCACAAUCUUGGCUCGCUGCAACUUUCGCCUCCCAGGUUCA